ACACCACGCUCUUCCGUCAGUGCAAAUGCCAUCCCAGAGGCAUCAGGAGAACGGUGCACAGCGGGCACAUGCAUUUACAGUAACCGUCUGGCAGUCUGGUUUUAAGGGAUACGGCAAUUAAA